ensembl:lncRNA
AUGACUCGCGCCGCGCAAAUCUUGCACACAGACAAAUUUACACACCUGCAUUUAAAUGCGGCUGCAAUUUUUUUUUUUUACUUAAAUUAUAUCAAAACACAGCAAAAACAGUAAUGUGAAAUAUUUUUACAAUUUAAAAGAACUGCUUUCUAUUUGAAUGUAUUUUAAAAUGCAGUUUAUUCCUGUGAUCAAAGCUGAAUUUUCUGCAUCAUUACUCCAGUCUUCAGUGUAUUAACAUAAUAAUAAUAAUAAUAAUAAAAUGUUUUUUGAGCAUCAAAUCAGCAUAUUAGAAUGAAGGAUCAUGUGACUGGAGUAAGUCACCUUUGAAAUCACAGGAAUACAUUUCAUUUUAAUAGAAAUAUAGAAAAUUGUUAUUUUAAAUAGCAAAAUAUUAUACAAAUAUUUUAAAAUUGGACUGUUUUUGCUGUACUUCGGAUUAAAUAAAUGCAGGCUUGAUGAGCAGAAGAGAUUUCUUUAAAAACAUAAAAAACUCACUGUUCAAAAACUUUUGACUGGUUGUGUUUAACAAAAGAUAUGCUCCAAAUAUUAUAAAGUCUGAGCAGCUGAAUGAACAGCUGAAUGAUCAGAUAAACAGUUCUUGACAUGCAGUACACACACAUACAUACAUAGACUACACAGAGAGAUUCCUUGCUUCAAUAUAUCCUCCGAUUCUCCCUCCAGGUAGUCUUUGAUGGCAUUCUGUUGAUUUUUACUGUCCAUCUGGAGAACGGCAGGCCCUGUCACCUCCCCACAGAAUAACCCACGAUGACUCUGUACCACGCUGGACCAAUGUCCCUUACAAACUUCCACUUUAUGUCCUCUUGGCGCUCCUGUUAAAAAUAGAGAAUACAUACGUGUUGGGGGUAUAUGUGUCCACUAAAAAUUAUUUACCUCAUCAUUCUACAUAAACAUAUUUAUGAUUUUAAACCACAAAAAGCAAUCAAUAUCUAAAGAAAUGCUCUCACCAUACCUCCAUGCACCACUGCAUGGCUUAUGUGGUCCUUCAAGUGAACUGUAACAAGUAAUUUUCUUUACUGGUGAAACUGCAGCAGGGACCCCUUCACCCGGGAGAACUGCUCUGCAUCAGGCUUGGACUGAAAAUGUGUAGAAUGCUGUAAAACAUGACAAACAAACAUUAUGUGUUCUUUUCGUUAAUAUAGAAGAAUACAAAGAUAAUUUGUGACAUACACAGAGUU